UACGUAGGGUGCAAGCGUUGUCCGGAAUUAUUGGGCGUAAAGAGCUCGUAGGCGGUUUGUCGCGUCUGCUGUGAAAACUGGGGGCUCAACCCCCAGCCUGCAGUGGGUACGGGCAGACUAGAGUGCGGUAGGGGAGAUUGGAAUUCCUGGUGUAGCGGUGGAAUGCGCAGAUAUCAGGAGGAACACCGAUGGCGAAGGCAGAUCUCUGGGCAUUAACUGACGCUGAGGAGCGAAAGCAUGGGGAGCGAACAGG
rnacentral:rRNA from 1 species